rnacentral:rRNA from 1 species
AUGGGCUGGAACCCGCCCCUUUGCGGAGCAUUUUUUGCGUUAUUCUCGAUCUGUGUCCGCCCACAGAUCUCCGUGGUUGUGGCCUUGGCUGACUUAGGCGCGAUUGCCUUCCGCUGUACCUUCGGGGCGGUGGAGCUUGAGCAAUGGGAUGAAUUGCUCAAGUGUAUUGCCCUCCACUCCCCCUCUCUGGAGCCCGACAUCCUAUCUUGGCACCUCGAGCCAAGCGGCAGAUUCUCGACUAGAUCCCUGUACCAGGCGAUUGUUCCCACUCCUGGUCCGGUGAAACUAUCGGUGCUUUGGGAGAUCAAACUCCCCUUGAUCCGCAUAUUUCUAUGGCAAUGGGUUAGAGGUCACCUUCCCUCGGGCACAGAUGUCCGUAAACGUAAUGGCCCUGGGGAUGGCCUCUGCCCCAUUUGUCUGGUACCGGAAGACUGCAACCACAUCUUCUUCCGGUGCCCGGCGGCGCAGUUCUUAUGGAGUUGCUUCCGGGAGGUGGUUGGUGGCAGUUGGUGCCAUGACAACCUCCCGAAUUUGUUUGGGGAGGUCCUUAGACUCCCCUGCACUAAUCGCGCCCCUAUUUGGGUGGCUCUGGGUACCCUUGCUUGGUCCCUUUGGUGUACCCGCAAUAAACUAGUCAUCGAACGCGUAAUUCCGUAUCGUGUGACUGAUGUGAUCUAUAAAAUGUGUGGCUUCUUACAGUUCUGGAGACCGCUUAGCAAGCGGCGCGACCGAGACGUCAUCGACAACAUCAUUGCGGGUCUUUGUUCCUCGACGUCGGCUUUUGUUCCACCACCACCACCACCUCCCGAGCCGGAUUAG